AGUUUGCACACUGAAAUGUAUACCUGUGACACAAACUUGUGUGACUGAGUGAAGGAGGAACUUCGUGGCUUUUUUCACUACUGUCAGAAAUCAGUGAAAACAUGAAAAGGUAGUAAUUCUAGGAGCACCAGCCUACGUCCUUUGACAAAGUGAGAUGCUUGAGUUCUGGAAUGCUCUGCCCCUACGUCCUUUGACAAAGUGAGAUGCUUGAGUUCUGGAAUGCUCUGCCCCUAGAUGGAGUGGCAGGGUCUUCUGUUCCCGGAGAGGUGGGUCCCCUGAGUGCCAGGGGCUGCGCAUCCGGUGGCCGUGAGCAAUCCUGGCGGCCAAGGACUCCACGCUGUACUCUUGGGAAUGAGACGAAGGUCCGCGUGUGUCCUCGACCUGGAGAAGGAAGGAGGGGCCCCCGGCAUGCAGGUGAUUUCGCAGGUUUGGACAGAGCUGCUCGGGGCCCCCAGAAAGAAGGGAGGGAAGGACUUUUCGUUUCUCUGAUGUCGACUUUGUCAAAACACUUCAGC
rnacentral:lncRNA from 1 species